rnacentral:rRNA from 1 species
AGCGAACGCUGGCGGCAGGCCUAACACAUGCAAGUCGAACGAAGUCUCCGGGAUUAGUGGCGGACGGGUGAGUAACACGUGGGAACGUGCCCUUUGGUUCGGAACAACUCAGGGAAACUUGAGCUAAUACCGGAUGUGCCCUUCGGGGGAAAGAUUUAUCGCCAUUGGAGCGGCCCGCGUCUGAUUAGCUAGUUGGUGGGGUAAAGGCCCACCAAGGCGACGAUCAGUAGCUGGUCUGAGAGGAUGAUCAGCCACAUUGGGACUGAGACACGGCCCAAACUCCUACGGGAGGCAGCAGUGGGGAAUCUUGCGCAAUGGGCGAAAGCCUGACGCAGCCAUGCCGCGUGAAUGAUGAAGGUCUUAGGAUUGUAAAAUUCUUUCACCGGGGACGAUAAUGACGGUACCCGGAGAAGAAGCCCCGGCUAACUUCGUGCCAGCCGCCGCAGUAAAAC